rnacentral:rRNA from 2 species
GACGAACGCUGGCGGCGUGCCUAAUACAUGCAAGUCGAACGAACUCUGGUAUUGAUUGGUGCUUGCAUCAUGAUUUACAUUUGAGUGAGUGGCGAACUGGUGAGUAACACGUGGGAAACCUGCCCAGAAGCGGGGGAUAACACCUGGAAACAGAUGCUAAUACCGCAUAACAACUUGGACCGCAUGGUCCGAGCUUGAAAGAUGGCUUCGGCUAUCACUUUUGGAUGGUCCCGCGGCGUAUUAGCUAGAUGGUGGGGUAACGGCUCACCAUGGCAAUGAUACGUAGCCGACCUGAGAGGGUAAUCGGCCACAUUGGGACUGAGACACGGCCCAAACUCCUACGGGAGGCAGCAGUAGGGAAUCUUCCACAAUGGACGAAAGUCUGAUGGAGCAACGCCGCGUGAGUGAAGAAGGGUUUCGGCUCGUAAAACUCUGUUGUUAAAGAAGAACAUAUCUGAGAGUAACUGUUCAGGUAUUGACGGUAUUUAACCAGAAAGCCACGGCUAACUACGUGCCAGCAGCCGCGGUAAUACGUAGGUGGCAAGCGUUGUCCGGAUUUAUUGGGCGUAAAGCGAGCGCAGGCGGUUUUUUAAGUCUGAUGUGAAAGCCUUCGGCUUAACCGAAGAAGUGCAUCGGAAACUGGGAAACUUGAGUGCAGAAGAGGACAGUGGAACUCCAUGUGUAGCGGUGAAAUGCGUAGAUAUAUGGAAGAACACCAGUGGCGAAGGCGGCUGUCUGGUCUGUAACUGACGCUGAGGCUCGAAAGUAUGGGUAGCAAACAGGAUUAGAUACCCUGGUAGUCCAUACCGUAAACGAUGAAUGCUAAGUGUUGGAGGGUUUCCGCCCUUCAGUGCUGCAGCUAACGCAUUAAGCAUUCCGCCUGGGGAGUACGGCCGCAAGGCUGAAACUCAAAGGAAUUGACGGGGGCCCGCACAAGCGGUGGAGCAUGUGGUUUAAUUCGAAGCUACGCGAAGAACCUUACCAGGUCUUGACAUACUAUGCAAAUCUAAGAGAUUAGACGUUCCCUUCGGGGACAUGGAUACAGGUGGUGCAUGGUUGUCGUCAGCUCGUGUCGUGAGAUGUUGGGUUAAGUCCCGCAACGAGCGCAACCCUUAUUAUCAGUUGCCAGCAUUAAGUUGGGCACUCUGGUGAGACUGCCGGUGACAAACCGGAGGAAGGUGGGGAUGACGUCAAAUCAUCAUGCCCCUUAUGACCUGGGCUACACACGUGCUACAAUGGAUGGUACAACGAGUUGCGAACUCGCGAGAGUAAGCUAAUCUCUUAAAGCCAUUCUCAGUUCGGAUUGUAGGCUGCAACUCGCCUACAUGAAGUCGGAAUCGCUAGUAAUCGCGGAUCAGCAUGCCGCGGUGAAUACGUUCCCGGGCCUUGUACACACCGCCCGUCACACCAUGAGAGUUUGUAACACCCAAAGUCGGUGGGGUAACCUUUUAGGAACCAGCCGCCUAAGGUGGGACAGAUGAUUAGGGUG